rnacentral:rRNA from 1 species
AUUGAACGCUGGCGGUAUGCUUUACACAUGCAAGUCGAACGGCAGCACGGACUUCGGUCUGGUGGCGAGUGGCGAACGGGUGAGUAAUGUAUCGGAACGUGCCCAGUAGUGGGGGAUAACUACUCGAAAGAGUGGCUAAUACCGCAUGAGAUCUCUGGAUGAAAGCGGGGGACCGUAAGGCCUCGCGCUACUGGAGCGGCCGAUAUCAGAUUAGGUAGUUGGUAGGGUAAGAGCCUACCAAGCCAACGAUCUGUAGCUGGUCUGAGAGGACGACCAGCCACACUGGGACUGAGACACGGCCCAGACUCCUACGGGAGGCAGCAGUGGGGAAUUUUGGACAAUGGACGCAAGUCUGAUCCAGCAAUACCGCGUGCAGGACGAAGGCCUUCGGGUUGUAAACUGCUUUUGUACGGAACGAAAAGCCUUCUUCUAAUACAGGGAGGUCAUGACGGUACCGUAAGAACAAGCACCGGCUAACUACGUG